CAAACAGAGCUGUAUGAGUGAGAAAGAGCACUUCUAGCAUCUUGGUUUGGUUACAAAGAAAGAAGGAAAAGAUGUGAGCAACUGAACACGUGCUUGGUGACAGGUACUGCAGCAGACCUUGGAAAAAUGGUUGUGCUGAAAGGAAGGAAGGAAGGAGAAAAGAAAAGAAAAGGAAGAAGGAAGGAAGGAGAGAGAAAGAAAG
rnacentral:lncRNA from 10 species